rnacentral:rRNA from 1 species
UACGUCGGGUGCAAGCGUUGUCCGGAAUUAUUGGGCGUAAAGAGCUUGUAGGCGGUUUGUCGCGUCUGCUGUGAAAUUUCGGGGCUCAACCCCGAACUUGCAGUGGGUACGGGCAGACUAGAGUGUGGUAGGGGAGACUGGAAUUCCUGGUGUAGCGGUGAAAUGCGCAGAUAUCAGGAGGAACACCGAUGGCGAAGGCAGGUCUCUGGGCCACUACUGACGCUGAGAAGCGAAAGCAUGGGGAGCGAACAGG